AAUAAAUACAGCCGUGGAUAUUCGUGCCCAACGUUUGACCGUCCGUCUUAUUUGAAAAAAUUAUAAAAAAAUUGAAAAUAUUUAGUCACACAUAAAGUAUUAUUCAUGUUUUAUCAUCUAAUAGUAAUAAAAAUACUAAUCAUAAAAAAAUUUUAAAUAAGAUGAACGGUCAAAUGUUGAACGUGAAUAGUGUAAAACUACACUUAUU
rnacentral:pre_miRNA from 1 species